ACGCUGGCGGCAGGCCUAACACAUGCAAGUCGAGCGGUAGAGAGAAGCUUGCUUCUCUUGAGAGCGGCGGACGGGUGAGUAAUGCCUAGGAAUCUGCCUGGUAGUGGGGGAUAACGUUCGGAAACGGACGCUAGUACCGCAUACGUCCUACGGGAGAAAGCAGGGGACCUUCGGGCCUUGCGCUAUCAGAUGAGCCUAGGUCGGAUUAGCUAGUUGGUGGGGUAAUGGCUCACCAAGGCGACGAUCCGUAACUGGUCUGAGAGGAUGAUCAGUCACACCGGAACUGAGACACGGUCCAGACUCCUACGGGAGGCAGCAGUGGGGAAUAUUGGACAAUGGGCGAAAGCCUGAUCCAGCCAUGCCGCGUGUGUGAAGAAGGUCUUCGGAUUGUAAAGCACUUUAAGUUGGGAGGAAGGGUUGUAGAUUAAUACUCUGCAAUUUUGACGUUACCGACAGAAUAAGCACCGGCUAACUCUGUGCCAGCAGCCGCGGUAAUACAGAGGGUGCAAGCGUUAAUCGGAAUUACUGGGCGUAAAGCGCGCGUAGGUGGUUAGUUAAGUUGGAUGUGAAAUCCCCGGGCUCAACCUGGGAACUGCAUUCAAAACUGACUGACUAGAGUAUGGUAGAGGGUGGUGGAAUUUCCUGUGUAGCGGUGAAAUGCGUAGAUAUAGGAAGGAACACCAGUGGCGAAGGCGACCACCUGGACUGAUACUGACACUGAGGUGCGAAAGCGUGGGGAGCAAAC
rnacentral:rRNA from 1 species